rnacentral:piRNA from 1 species
UGGGAUACUGACUUUCCUGAAAAGCUGCCUU